GAUCCUGGCUCAGGACGAACGCUGGCGGCGUGCUUAACACAUGCAAGUCGAGCGGUAAGGCCUUUCGGGGUACACGAGCGGCGAACGGGUGAGUAACACGUGGGUGAUUUGCCCUGCACUUCGGGAUAAGCCUGGGAAACUGGGUCUAAUACCGGAUAUGACCUCCUAUCGCAUGGUGGGUGGUGGAAAGAUUUAUCGGUGCAGGAUGGGCCCGCGGCCUAUCAGCUUGUUGGUGGGGUAAUGGCCUACCAAGGCGACGACGGGUAGCCGACCUGAGAGGGUGACCGGCCACACUGGGACUGAGACACGGCCCAGACUCCUACGGGAGGCAGCAGUGGGGAAUAUUGCACAAUGGGCGAAAGCCUGAUGCAGCGACGCCGCGUGAGGGAUGACGGCCUUCGGGUUGUAAACCUCUUUCAGCAGGGACGAAGCGCAAGUGAC
rnacentral:rRNA from 1 species